AACGAACGCUGGCGGCAUGCCUAACACAUGCAAGUCGAACGAGACCUCCGGGUCUAGUCGCGCACGGGGGCGUAACGCGGGGGAACCUGCCCUUAGGCUCGGAAUAAAUCCCCGAAAGGGGUGCCAAUACCGGAAAAAGUCUUCGGACCAAAGAUAUAUCGACAUUGGAUGGGCCGGAGUCGGAUUAGCUAGUUGGUAGGGUAAAAGCUUACCAAGGCGACGAUCCGUAGCUGGUCUGAGAGGAUGAUCAGCCACACUGGGACUGAGACACGGCCCAGACUCCGGCGGUAGGCAGCAGUGGGGAAUUUUGGAGAAUGGGGGCAACCCUGAUCCUGCCAUGCCGCGUGCGGGAAGAAGGCCUUCGGGUUGUAAACCGAUUUUGUUCGGGAAGAAAUCCUCUGCGCUAAUACCCCGGGGGGAUGACGGUACCGGAAGAAUAAGCACCGGCUAACUACGUG
rnacentral:rRNA from 1 species